rnacentral:lncRNA from 1 species
UGAUAAUGACCUUUUGAUUUGUUAUAAAUUGUAUUAGUCCCGCCUCCCAAGCUGCGGACUGGAUCACUCACUGGUUUUCAGCCUUUUGCACUCUGUGCGAGACAGGCUGUUGACGGUCCGAGCAAAAACCUUUUGGGUCGUCUGGUGAGUUUUAUUUUAAAAAGAAUGAUGUAAACAAAUAUUUACAUUGUCUUUUCGUUGAUUUGGAAUAUUUGUUGUUUAAGUGGAAGGAGCACGAGCUGGAGAGGCUGUGUUGUUGUGCCCCUUGCUGUGUUCCUCACGAUACCUCAUCUUGGCUAGUAUUACACGGUUAAGAAAACCCUGGAUGGAUUUCCUGGAUACUCUCCGGAUGGAGAUGGCGAGCCUGUGCCCAGAACUGGAUUGAACUUCGAAGGACCACCUUCUGUCCUACAGUGCUGAGUGGUAACGCCUUAAAACACCACUUAAAGGAAGAAGAACUGAACAAUAAAGACAAUUGACUUGACACACGACAAAAAAAAAAGAGAAACUGAGCUCAAUGGGACUGGGGAUAUAUUUUUUGUUGCAUAUGCCGGCUAUGCUUAUUGUUAAAUAUCGUUUAUCUUGAACAGUUUUAUUUUUAUUUGGUUUACUAAAUAAUACUUUUUCUUACUUACUCUUUGCCUCCAGCCAUUUCAGUACACACUCACCUUAGUUCCUAUUGUAAUCCUGCUGAACCUAGCAACUGGUCUAUACUUUUAAUUUCGCCUUACCUACUUAACGUGAGUCAGGUGUUACACGCGCACGGUAGAAACAGGCCUGUAAAUGACUUAUGAACACACUGUGUUGCUCUAAAUGUUUGAGCCUUGGGAAAUGUUUGUCGUUGUAAGUAUUAGUGUGUCCAAAGCACCUGUUUAGAAGUCACCAAUUUGUCUCUGUAAUGUUACUUUUGAUAAGUUUGUCACUAGAGUUUUGGAGUUACUGCUGUCUUACAUGUGCAUUGACUAGCUCAUGAUUGUGUUUAGCAUGUUAAGUGUAAAAUAUAUGGUUCGU